GAUGAACGCUAGCGGCAGGCUUAAUACAUGCAAGUCGAGGGGCAGCACAGGUAGCAAUACUGGGUGGCGACCGGCAAACGGGUGCGGAACACGUACGCAACCUUCCUUUAAGUGAGGAAUAGCCCAGGGAAACUUGGAUUAAUACCUCGUAAUAUUUUUGGGUGGCAUCACCUGAUAAUUAUAGCUCCGGCGCUUAAAGAUGGGCGUGCGCCUGAUUAGGUAGUUGGCGGGGUAACGGCCCACCAAGCCUACGAUCAGUAACUGGUGUGAGAGCACGACCAGUCACACGGGCACUGAGACACGGGCCCGACUCCUACGGGAGGCAGCAGUAAGGAAUAUUGGUCAAUGGACGCAAGUCUGAACCAGCCAUGCCGCGUGGAGGAUGACUGCCCUCUGGGUUGUAAACUCCUUUUAUCUGGGAAGAAAUGCAUUUUUUCUAAAGUGUUUGACGGUACCAGAGGAAUAAGCACCGGCUAACUCCGUGCCAGCCGCCGCCGUAACAC
rnacentral:rRNA from 1 species